UUUGUGCCGUUCCGUAUCGGCCAUCUCUGAACGAAUCGUUCUUUCUGUACUUGGCAGCCGUACAAGCCGAUCGAACCUUACGGGGCCGUACCGCCUGAGUAAUUGCAGCAACGGAAACAGCAGCAGCAUCGCUAUCAACUCGAACAGCCGCCACUUCAAAGUUUUUGUUACGGAAAACGCCGCAGCAGCAAGAUCAAAUAUCUGACGGCACCAGUAGAACACAACCACAACACCUCAACCAAAAAAUCGUCAUGCCCGAAGAGAAGAAAUACGCACACACCAACGGGUUUGCCAACGGACACGGUAACGGCGGACUUCCGCCAGAGAGCCCGGACGGUGAGAUGUUCCUUUUCACUUCUGAAUCUGUCGGAGAAGGACAUCCUGACAAAAUGUGCGACCAGAUCAGUGAUGCUAUUUUAGACGCACAUCUGGAACAAGAUCCUGACGCAAAAGUGGCUUGUGAAACUGUUACCAAAACUGGAAUGGUUUUACUUUGUGGAGAAAUAACAUCCAAAGCCAAUGUUGAUUACCAAAGAGUAGUUCGAGACACUAUUAAACAUAUUGGCUACGAUGAUUCAUCAAAAGGGUUUGACUACAAGACAUGCAAUGUUCUCGUCACAGUUGAUGAACAGUCAUCUAAUAUUGCGGAUGGUGUACACGUUAACAAAAUCGAAGAUGCGAUUGGGGCUGGGGAUCAGGUUUUGAUUACAAGACAUGUUCGGUGAUGCUUGCUAUUGAUCAACAAUCUCCAAAUAUUGCUGCUGGUGUACAUAUCAACAGGACUGCUGAGGAGGUUGGUGCUGGUGAUCAGGGCCUCAUGUUUGGCUAUGCUACAGAUGAAACAGAAGAAUGUAUGCCUUUAACUGUGGUACUUGCUCACAAGCUUAAC
rnacentral:misc_RNA from 1 species